rnacentral:rRNA from 1 species
GGCCGUAACUAUAACGGUCCUAAGGUAGCGAAAUUCCUUGUCGGGUAAGUUCCGACCUGCACGAAUGGCGUAACGAUGGCGGCGCUGUCUCCACCCGAGACUCAGUGAAAUUGAAAUCGCUGUGAAGAUGCAGUGUAUCCGCGGCUAGACGGAAAGACCCCGUGAACCUUUACUAUAGCUUUGCACUGGACUUUGAAUUUGCUUGUGUAGGAUAGGUGGGAGGCUUUGAAGCGUGGACGCCAGUCUGCGUGGAGCCAACCUUGAAAUACCACCCUGGCAACUUUGAGGUUCUAACUCAGGUCCGUUAUCCGGAUCGAGGACAGUGUAUGGUGGGUAGUUUGACUGGGGCGGUCUCCUCCUAAAGAGUAACGGAGGAGUACGAAGGUGCGCUCAGACCGGUCGGAAAUCGGUCGUAGAGUAUAAAGGCAAAAGCGCGCUUGACUGCGAGACAGACACGUCGAGCAGGUACGAAAGUAGGUCUUAGUGAUCCGGUGGUUCUGUAUGGAAGGGCCAUCGCUCAACGGAUAAAAGGUACUCCGGGGAUAACAGGCUGAUACCGCCCAAGAGUUCAUAUCGACGGCGGUGUUUGGCACCUCGAUGUCGGCUCAUCACAUCCUGGGGCUGAAGCCGGUCCCAAGGGUAUGGCUGUUCGCCAUUUAAAGUGGUACGCGAGCUGGGUUUAGAACGUCGUGAGACAGUUCGGUCCCUAUCUGCCGUGGACGUUUGAGAUUUGAGAGGGGCUGCUCCUAGUACGAGAGGACCGGAGUGGACGAACCUCUGGUGUUCCGGUUGUCACGCCAGUGGCAUUGCCGGGUAGCUAUGUUCGGAAGAAAGAUAACCGCUGAAAGCAUCUAAGCGGGAAACUUGCCUCAAGAUGAGAUCUCACUGGAACCUUGAGUUCCCUGAAGGGCCGUCGAAGACUACGACGUUGAUAGGUUGGGUGUGUAAGCGCUGUGAGGCGUUGAGCUAACCAAUACUAAUUGCCCGUGAGGCUUGACCAU